CGGAGGAUCCAAGCGUUAUCCGGAAUCAUUGGGUUUAAAGGGUCCGUAGGCGGCUUUAUAAGUCAGUGGUGAAAUCUCACGGCUCAACCGUGAAUGGCCAUUGAUACUGUAGGGCUUGAAUUACCAGGAAGUAACUAGAAUAUGUAGUGUAGCGGUGAAUGCUUAGAUAUUACAUGGAAUACCAAUUGCGAAGGCAGGUUACUACUGGUGGAUUGACGCUGAUGGACGAAAGCGUGGUAGCGAACAGGAUU
rnacentral:rRNA from 1 species